rnacentral:lncRNA from 1 species
AGAGUUUUCAGGAUCGAUAUCAUGAAAUCUCAUUGGGUGACCACUUUCAAGACAACUUCUUGGACUGAGUCAAAGUUUUUAAGACUAUAAAUUAUAUUUAAGUUCGAUCUGUACACUGGAGGAUAUUUUUACAAUAACAAAAUAAAGAUUCUGGAAAUAUGAUGAAUUAGGGAAGU